GUACACGCUGUGACUAGCAUAUCAAUAAGCGGAGGAAAAGAGGCACUAUACCUACGCUUAGGAUGUUGACGAGACUGUCGAUCUCAUCUAUACACGACUCUGUGCAUAUCAAUAAGCGGAGGAAAAGAAACUAACAAGGAUUCCCCUAGUAACGGCGAGUGAAGCGGGAAGAGCUCAAAUUUGAAAUCUUAAAGGGUUUCCCUUUACGAAUUGUAGUUUAAAGAAGUGUUUUCUGUUGAGGUUUUGGUAAAAGUUCUUUGGAAUAGGACAUCAUAGAGGGUGAGAAUCCCGUAUUUGACCUUUACUUUCAACUUUGUGAUACACUUUCAAAGAGUCGGAUUGUUUGGGAAUGCAGUCCAAAAUGGGUGGUAAAUUUCAUCUAAAGCUAAAUAUUGGCGAGAGACCGAUAGCGAACAAGUACCGUGAGGGAAAGAUGAAAAGAACUUUGAAAAGAGAGUUAAACAGUACGUGAAAUUGUCAAAAGGGAAGCGUUUGACACCAGUGUUGUUUUUCUGAAAAUCAAUUAAAGAACUGUUUAUGCUAAGUUGUUUAGACUUUAUCAGCUAUCUGUUUAGUUUUGAGCUUUUCUUUAAUGCACUUUUCAGUUAACAAGUCAACAUCAAUUUCUUUUGCUGUAAAAAAGCUUGAGGAAGGUGGCUUGAGAUUCGUCUUAAGUGUUUAUAGCCUCUUGCCUAUGCAGUCGGAGAGAUUGAGGUCUGCAGCGUAGAUCCUUCGGGGCUAAAUGCAUUUGUGCUAAGUUAUAGCAUUUUAUAGACAACUUGUUGACUAUGAUUUGUCUUGUAGCUUACUCGCUUAUGUUAUUUUACCUACGCUUAGGAUGUUGACGAGACUGUCGAUCUC
rnacentral:rRNA from 1 species